AGGCCGGCGCCGGAGCUGGGUCAGCGCAGUCAGUGAAAGCAGUGUACCGCCAUCUUUUUUGUGGGCAAAGAGUCCUUCGAGGUUUAUGUUUCCAAAGUAGGCUUCUCAGGAAGCCCAUAGAGAGACGUUCGAAAGAGAAUGGGCUCCUUGCACACUGAAAUACUGAGCCGAAUGGUUGGGGGUCGAAGUGGCAACCCAUGAAACCGAGAAUAAACGAGAGGCCUGCCCUGAGUAAAGAUGGGGAAACUGAGGCAUAGAGAGAUCAGAUCACUGUGCUGGCAUGGCUGCCUCCCAGGAAGAAAGCCAGACUUCAAGCCCUGUGCCUGACUCCAGAACCUGUGCUCUUUGUCCUGUACCACACCACAUCCGGAUACUGAGGCCAGUCGCUGUCAGAUGCCAUAGUGGCAUGGAAGCCAUGUAUAUUCAGAAAAAAGGCGCUUUGUGUUUGGAAUCUGAAUCUUCCCCCAGCCCAGUGGUAGGGAUUGAUUCAUCUCAGAAUUACAGAAGACCUAAAGCCAAGAAUCACCAGGAACACAGAGAGGCCAAAUCUCCCGUGGUUUCCUAAGCCUGGCCAAUGG
rnacentral:lncRNA from 1 species